CAGAAUCAAUAACUAAAUGCAUAUUUUAUGCAAAAUCCAAACCUUCUUCUUCUCCCGUUAAUGGCGGCUUCUACUUGUUCCUCCUCCCCCUGCGUAGCGGAGCGGAGGGGCAUCCCGGCUGCUUCCUUCGUGGAAGACGUGGAGACCUAUCUCAAGCAAUCCGGCCUCGAUGUCAGCUGCUCCCUCGCGUUCCUCCAAGAAAGGCUUCAGCAGUACAAGAUUGUGGAAAUGAAACUUCUAGCACAGCAGAGGGAUCUUCAGGCUAAAAUCCCUGAUAUUGAGAAGUGUUUAGAUAUUGUCGCCACUCUCCAAGCUAAGAAGGGUAGUGGUGAGGCAUUGAUUGCUGAUUUUGAGGUAUCUGAGGGCAUUUAUUCACAAGCGAUAAUAGAGGAUACUGAAUCAGUGUGUCUUUGGUUGGGAGCAAAUGUCAUGCUAGAGUAUUCUUGUGAUGAGGCCAAGGCCCUUCUACAAAAGAACUUGGAAAAUGCUAAAGCCAGUUUAGAAGUUUUUGUUGCUGAUUUGCAGUUCUUGAGGGAUCAAGUGACCAUCACUCAGGUUACUGGUGCUCGAGUGUAUAACUGGGAUGUUCAUCAGAGUAGACUAGCUGCAAAGGAAACUUGAUUUUCUAGUAGCUCCCUGUUAUUGAACUAGCUCUUGAUUGAUUAUGUUAUUUAGUUGGUCACUUCUUUCCUGUCACGGUUUUGGAUUUGGGUUCUUUUUGUUAGUUCUCGGUUAUGUUGUUGUGAGAUAAGGGUCAAUUUUUGCUAUCAGAAAGAAAUAUGAGAAAACAACUAGUACUGCUAUCUGAGCUUGAAGGCUGCAGGGCACAUUCCUCCUGUGGACCCCAACUCCUCUAUUGAAGAAUGAUGGCAAGCAUCAUGGCGUUUAUUUUGGUCCCAACUAGUUUGGGAUUAAGGCUUAGUUUAGUAUUUAUUUUGGCUCAACUGGCGUUGUAUGGUAUUAGACCAUGACUUUAUCCAGCCAUGGCAGAAAAUUAGUAUGAUAUGAGAUGUUAAUUUUUCUCCCAUUAUAAGGCAUGCUCUUUCCUUUUGUU